GACUGGACUGCGGGUGGGACUGGACUGGAACUGGACUGGGAGUGGGACUGGGAAUGGGACAGGGGGCACUUGCGAACCACAGUGGUAAAAGGCUGUUCCUCUGGCCAACAGGGACACGGGUUUGGAGUUCUGCUCGGCAGCUACAGAUCGGACCAGCAGGCCCGCCCUGCACCUGCCUCAGCGCUGGGGCAGCUGUGUCUCCCGGGGCAGGAGGGCACGAGGGCUGGUGGGGUCUGUAUGGAGUACAGUGAGCUCACAAGUGCACUCCAGACCACUGAAACACACAGGAUCGAUCCUCAGGAGUGCAGCUCCCGCUGACUGGGUGACUGUUGAGUCAGACAGCCAGUCCCCAUUGGAAUCGUGACUGUUAUACCGCCACCCCACCACCGGGGGGCGCUAAACAGAUACUCCGAUUGUAUUCCCAUCCAUUAUUGAGGUGUGAGGGGCCUUUCCUCCUUAUCUUUUCCCUUACGGCCUACAAGAACCUGGGGGACACGUGCGCCUGAAACUGGCUCCGUUCUUGUUCGUUUUCCACCACAGAAUUCUCUUUCUCUUCCUCGGGGACGCUAGAGAGCGCAGCUGAGGAACUGAGAGGCGAGCGGAGCAGAAAAGCCCCCUUUUAAAUGUCAGCAGUGCGAGAGCAGCUGCAGAGUGAAAUACUGAGUCAGAAGACUGUUUCUCUUUCCUUCCAGAGAAGCAGAACUAGACGAGAAACUCGCUCAGCUCUGCACGUCUGACAGAGCAGCAGCUCCUCAGGCCUGAUGAGGCACCUGACAAGAGCUCAGCGCAGAGGGGAGCUCCUGUCUGCCGUCUCUCACUCGGACCCAGGGCAGCGACAGAUAGGGGCAGAUAGACACGAGUGUGUUCCUGUCGAUUGCUGAAGCACAGCCCCCUGCACACCGCAGCCUGAAAGAUGUGAAGCAAUCUGAGUGUCUACUCCACACUGGAAAGGAAACGAGAAACUGGUUCUGGCUGUGGAGUGGUGUCUGUGUGUCGGGAGGCCAUCAGGUUACAGAGAAUCAGGACACCUUGAGGCAGAACAGGAGUCUGAAGAGGUUGAGACUGAAAGCAAUCACUUCUACGCCUGUGCUCAACUGCCUGAUUACUGUGGCAUUGUAAUAAAUUGGAGACAAUAAAACUAAGAAUAUUUAACACCA